AGAGAGCCCUGUACUGGGAUGUCAUGCAGGAGAACUAUGAGAAUGUGACCUCGCUGGGGUUUCUAGUUUUCCAACGUGAUGUGAUCUUCCAGCUGGAACAAGGGGAAGAGCCAGAGGUCCCAGACCUCCAGGAUUCAGAGGAAAGAGAUCCAGAGAUAUCCCUGCACAGGUGAUGCAAUGGCAUGUGAGAAAGAGGAGCAGAAUUCUCAGCCUGAAAAUGUUGAG